CAAGUUCUGCUCCCUUCUAGAAACAACAUAGACAAAGAAAGCAAAAGGAAAGAAAUGCUGACAGAGACCCACAAAGGCCGCUGUGAUUUGGUAAAGCACCAAGCCUGCCAGCACGUCCUAUGGAAAGUGAGGGCAGACACAACCACAGUUGGCAGGGAGAACAGCCAAGCCGCAGCACAGCUAAUGACAGUCACCACUCUGGAGAAAUGCUUCAAAGGGCAGCUGCAGAGGUGGCAGCCAGCUCACUGAGGAAAACGGUCUUGAUCAGGCUGGAGUGCAGUGACAUAAUCACAGCUCACUGCAUCCUCAGACUCCUGGGCUCAAGCAAUCCUCCCAUCUCAGUCUUCCAAGUAAUUAGGACUAGAAGUGUGUAUUAGUCUGUUCUCAAGCUGCUGAUGAAGACAUACCCUAGACUGGGCAAUUUGCAAAAGAAAGAGGUUUAAUGGACUCACAGUUCCACGUGACUGCGGAUGCCUCACCAUGGCAGCAGACGAGAGGAGAAUGAGAGCCAAGUGAAAGGGGUUUCCCCUUAUAAAACCACCAGAUCUCAGGAGUCUUAUUCACUACCACGACAACAGUAUGGGGGAAACUGCCACCCCCAUGAUUCAAUUAUCUCCCACCGGGUCCCUCCCACAAUAUGAGGGAAUUAUGGGAGCUACAAUUUAUGAGAUUUAUGAGAUUUGGGUGGGGACACAGCCAAACCAUAUCAGUGUGCCACCACACUCAGCUAAUUUAUUAUUUUUAGAAACAUGGUCUCACUAUGUUGCCCAGGCUGGUCUGCACUCC